UUGAACGCUGGCGGCAUGCUUUACACAUGCAAGUCGAACGGUAACAGGGAGCUUGCUCCGCUGACGAGUGGCGAACGGGUGAGUAAUGCAUCGGAACGUACCCAGUCGUGGGGGAUAACGUAGCGAAAGUUACGCUAAUACCGCAUACGUCCUGAGGGAGAAAGCGGGGGACCGUAAGGCCUCGCGCGAUUGGAGCGGCCGAUGUCGGAUUAGCUAGUUGGUGGGGUAAAGGCCUACCAAGGCGACGAUCCGUAGCGGGUCUGAGAGGAUGAUCCGCCACACUGGGACUGAGACACGGCCCAGACUCCUACGGGAGGCAGCAGUGGGGAAUUUUGGACAAUGGGGGCAACCCUGAUCCAGCCAUGCCGCGUGAGUGAAGAAGGCCUUCGGGUUGUAAAGCUCUUUCGGCAGGAACGAAACGGUGGAGGCUAAUACCUUUCAUCAAUGACGGUACCUGAAGAAGAAGCACCGGCUAACUACGU
rnacentral:rRNA from 1 species